UCCCUGGAAAAGCUGAACAUGAACUGCAGGAAAUAAUAUCUUAAAUAUAGAAUCUGCCUAAAAUUAUUGGGUGUAAAGGGUUUCAUUUGAAUUCAUUUAAUCUUGUGUUAAGAUGAUGUCCAGCUUUUAAGAACAUAUUUCAAAAGUGUCUCUUAGGUGCUGAACAGAUUUUCAAGCACAAAAAUUAUUUCUUAAGUAACAUUUGAUGAUUAUUGUAUUUAAAAAUUCUCAAAACAGAUUUAAAUCAUAGAGGUGAACAUGCCUUGUAAAAUUACUUACAGUUGUAUUCUGACUACUUUACAACCUUAAUACAAAACUCUAAUCAAAAUCACUGUAAGGCCGGGAGUGGGGGGAGGAGGGAAGAGAGGGGGAUCUGUGGUUGGUAUGUAAAAUGAAUAAAAAAUUUAUUAAUUAGAAAAAAAGAAAAUCAUUCUAAUUCAUAGCUGGAUGCAAACUGUCUACAGCAAAAUUGCAGCAUGUUUUAUGAUUGACACAGACCAUGUAGACUUCCCAGAAGCCUAUUCAGUCCCAGAUCAAAUGAAAAUUAUUUUCAGCCAAACUAUAACAACUUCUUUAAAAAUAGAAAUGUCCUUGAGGUUGUGUGAAACCACAGGUCUUACAGCCACCCAAAAAGCAUUCUGUGAGGAUUAUGAGGUGUCUAUUUUGGGUAAAGAGUUUUGAGCCCAAGUCUCAGCAACAAUGCUGAAGUUGUUUCUUUGGGCAUUUGUGGGGUGGUGUUAGGAAGAUGGGACUUUGUGUGUGGCCUGAGUUCCCACAGUUUUGACAUGUGACUGAAAAGAUGUGAGAAGGCAAGUGGAUUAAUGCACCCAAAUCUCAUUUGGAUUAACCUUUCCUGAACGAGGAAAUCUUCCAGUGAUGACACAAAUGGAACUUCUUGAAUUUAUUGUGUGAGCUUUAGUAGGCAUUGGUGUGAUAGCCUCCCACUGCAGUCUGCAAGGACAUGCCCAUUCCUCAUUUUUCAACACCUGUUUGCAGGGAAGUUAUUCUUAAGUUAGUGUACUGCUCCCAACUCUUCAUCUCUUGUUCUAUGCUGUACUUGACCCUGUUGAUCUGGGGUGUGUGAGACAGUUUUCCUCAUGCCCAGGCUUGUGUGCCAGAAGCUUCUGGAGAAGAUGACUUGACACAUGGCUUCAAUCAUCUUUCUUUGGCAGCAUGUGAAGCCAACUCGUUGGCAGAUUCCAGGUCCAUAGCUGAAAUAGAGUCUGCUAUUCUUGCACUGAGCUUAGGUUCUGCUGCUGCAGCACAAAUGAACCCUUCCUACAUGUGCGAUGAAAUGCAGUCUUGUUAAAAGAGGAAAAGAGGUGAGUCAAGAGUGGCAGAGAUGGUGUGCACAUAAUCAUGAGAUAUAAAAUAGUGAUAAGCAAUAAUAACAUAUCCAGAAGCCUAGCAGAUAAGAUAAGGGCAGCUUUAGCAUGAGAAUAAAUACUUUCCCAUUAUAUUUACUCAUGUAGGUCAGCAUCUCUCCAAAACCCAUUUGUGUUACUAUAAUCAACCCUCUCAGGUUUUUAUACUCUCUCCUAAGAUGGAGAUCACACUACACUAUUCCCUUAGAAAUACAGAUUUCAUGGCCUCUCAAACAUGUUCUUAUAAGACUUCAGUUUUCUUAUUGGUGAAGUGAGAUCUGAAACAGAUGAUCAGCAGCAUCUGUGCCAAGUCUUUAGCUUCGAAUUAUCUUUCACAGUGAGGCCAAUUUCUCUGGGAAGUGGUCCCUGUCCACUGUAUCAGUAACUGGGAGAAGAGGGAAUAUCUGGACUUUAGGUCAUUUCCCAUAUUCUAAUCUUCUCCUCAUGGUUCUAGGCUUGAACCUCGUGGUCCAAGGACAUAUGACAUGUAUAAGUGUAGAUUGGUAAGGGAGUGUAAUGUGAUUUUUAUACCCAAGGAAGCAGUAGAAGAGACAAAAUAACAUAUGGUUGCUUAUUUUUUUUCACUUAAUAAUAGUAGUUUAGGGCAAGACAUUUUACCUCUUUAGAUACAAAAAUUUUUAUUCAAAAAUAUAGUAUAUCUCAUACUGUACAGGACUUUGUUAGCACUGAAAGAGAAUAUUUGGAUUAUAGAAAAAUUUAAAAUAUUAAUUUCCAUAUGUGUGCAUGAUGGCGUGACAUAUUAAGUUUAUUAAAAUAAAAAUAUAGUGGGGCAAGCUUUUGAAAAUUAAAUCAAAGUUUUAUCUCUUUUAAUGAAGUAGAAUUUUUAAAGAUGAAGAAAGGUAGUUUGGUAUGUUUGUUUCUUAUUUAAUGAAUAAAAUACUUAUUGUGUACUGGGCAAUUUUGCUUUGAACACAUCAAUGAAUAUACAGGCAAUGAUCUAUCUCCAAGCUCAUGGUGCUGACAUUCUACUAAUUUGAUUGACUCUUAUGGAACAUGAAUUAUUUAAAAGCUUGAUAAGCUGCUAAAGAGCCAAUAGAUGGUUGUGUUUGAUCAUGUGAAUGACAGUGGAGCUGUGCCUUUUUCAUGCAUCAGUGAGUCAUGAUGUCAUAGGAAGUUCAUGGCUGGAUUGGAAGAAAGGGUUACAAAGAGUUUCUUAAGAACGGAAUGCCACAGUGAAACAGAAACGAAGAAGCAAAUAAACACUACAGUGAAAAAUAACUAUCUUUUGGAAAUUAUGCCAGGUAAUGGUUCUACCUUAUCUAAAUAAAGCAUUAAAUUUGUCAAGCCUUUUGGGUAGAAUUUAACAAUAAGUGCACUCUAAGGUAAUUUAUUUGAGUGGUUAUGAUGAUUAUUUCAUGUAAACAGAGGUCAGUAGUACAUAAACAUAAACUUUGGUUUCAUGAUGUAUUUUUAAAUACACUAUCAAAAUAAUUUUAGCCAAUAGGAAGAUAGUGACUCAUUUUGCUGAAUUUGGGGGGUCAAUGUUUUUCCUCCUGGAAUUCUCAUACACAUUCUCAUUUUUCAGUCCCUUUGCCAAGAGCCAACCAGUUGUACCUAUUUGAAAGUAAAACAUGGAGUAACUUCCUUUUAAGCUCUUUUGAAAAGUUGAAAUUCCCUUAGCAAGCACUAGUUUCAUACUGAAAAUGAAAUCUGUUGAUAUCUAGUUAUGCCAGCACCAUUUGUUUAAGAUGCUUUCUUUUUCCCAUUGUACAGUUUUGGCUUUUUUUUUUUUUGUUGUUGUUGUUGUAAAAAAAUCAGGUAUUCACAGGUGUGUGGGUUAAUGUCAGGGUCUUCAAUUCAAUUCCAUUGGUCCACAUGUCGGUUUUUAUGCCAAUACCAAGCUGUUUUUAUUACUAUAUCUCUAUAGUAGAGCUUGAUGUCAGGGAUGAUGAUGCCUCCAGAGGUGCCUUUGUUAUACAGGAUUCUUUUAGCUAUCCUGGGUUUUCUGUUUUUCCAAAUGAAGUUGAGUAUUGUUCUCUCCAUGUCUGUGAAGAAUUGUGUUGGGAUUUUGAUGGGGAUUGUAUUGAAUCUGUAGAUUGCUUUUGGUAAGAUUGCCAUUUUUACUGUGUUAAUUCUACCUAUCCAUGAGCAUGGGAGAUCUUUCCAUUUUCUGGUAUCUUCAAUUUCUUUCUUCAGGGACUUAAAGUUCUUGUCAUACAGGUCUUUCACUUGCUUAAUUAGAGGUACCCCAAGGUAUUUUAUAUUAUUUGUGGUUAUUGUAAAGGGUGAUGUUUCUCUGAUUUGCUUCUCAGCCCAUUUAUCGUUUGUAUACAGGAAGGCUACAGAUUUUUUUUUUGAGUUAAUCUUGUAUCUUGCCACAUUACUGAAGGUGUUUAUCAGCCAUAGGAGUUCCCUGGUAGAAUUUUUGGGGUCACUUAUGUACACUAUCAUGUCAUCUGCAAAUAGUGAAAGUUUGACUUCUUCCAUUCCAAUUUGUAUCCCCUUGAUCUUUUGUUAUCUUGUUGCUCUAGCUAGAACUUCAACUCUAUUGAAUAAAUAUGGGGAGAGUGAACAGCCUUGUCUUGUUCCUGAUUUUAGUGUAAUCGCUGGAUCACCCUGGGAAGGGGAAAUAGAUGAGAUCUCCAUGAGUGAACUAAGGGUGAAGGGUGGGAUGGAGGGUAGGGGAUGGGGGAUAAGAACAUAAGGGAAUGGGAUGGAGUGGAAAAGCAAUGAGAGAGAUACUAUGAUGGAGGGAGAUAUCAUGGGGACAGAGAGAAACCCAGUGCUAGGGAAGUUGCCGGGAAUCCCCAAGGAUGACCUCAGCUUGGACUACUAGAAAUAGUGGAGAGGGUGCCUGAACUGAACUGGCUUGCCCCAGUGAUCAUAUCUGUGAAUAACCUAACUGUCAUCACAGAACUUUUCUCCAGUGACUGAUGGAGGCAGAUGCAGAGAUCCACAGCUAAACACAAGGCAGAGCUCCAGAAUUCUAUGAGCAAGUGCAUCAGGAUCAUGAUGAGGAAACCUGCAGAGACGACCAAACCAAACUAGUGGGAACUCAUGAAAGUUGGAUUAAUGGCUGUGGAGACAUCAUGUGACUGGACUAGGCCCUCUGCAUGAACAUACUGACUUACAUAAGUGUGGACCCUUUCUGUUGCUUUCAGACUGAAGUAUGAGGACAGAGGCUCUGUUCUAUCUGCAGCUCUGUCUGCUUCCCAAGCAAAGGCCAUUCUUGAGACUGACGACUCUGAACCAGCUGACAUAGGCUGGCUAUGCUGCAUGGAUUCUCUCUUCUGAAAUUUUAUUUGUAGGCUGAAGAUCCAGUUCCAUGGUAGAGUGCCUGCCUAACAUCCACAAGACACAGAAACAAGGAAGGACUUACAGUAAUGUCUAGACUCCAGGUCUUCUCUUCAAAAAGAUCACUGCUGAACCAGAUGUGUGCUAUCCAGCAGAGGCUUCCUUUACUUCUAUAAUCCUACUGACAUUUUUUCAUUAUCAUUUAUCUUGUUUUGGAAGGAAUUCUAUGAAACAUCUUUGAAACAAGGGAAGAAAAAUGAGAAAAAAAACAGAUCAAGAAUCUCAUGAGACAGCAUGUUAGGAGAAAUAAAUAAAGAAAAACCUCACAUAUUUUAAGUAGUUUAAGAUAUCUGUUUAGUUUGGGAGUAACUACAAUUGAGCAAGAACACUAAUAAAACAAAUCUUCCAUGCUUCACUUAAUUCCUGAAACAGAACAUAAGCACGGAUCUAACUGACUGAUGUGCUAGUGGAUACUCAGAGAAUACAAACCCUUUCACUCAAAGCACAUGUCUUUGCAUUGUUACACUUUGCAAGCUACUGCUCCUUUACAAUCUGCUUUACAUGAUAGUUUUAAACUGUUGAAAUAUGGAGUAGCAUAUAAUAAAUUUAAUUAUAGGGUAAAAACAUUAACCAACCAAAAAACAACAUGAACUGUUCAAGUGUCUAAGGUUAAUUGAAUUAUGACUCUAAAAAUACUCAGUUUAAUGUAUUAUGGCAUAUCGUAGAAGGCCUUCGUGAUUUAUUAUAAUGAAGAGUGACAACUCUAUUGAAUUAUAAAAAGUAAUAUAUUGACAUAUGAAAAGUUAUACUGUAGAUUAGGAAAUGCAUAUCUAUGUAACUGUGAUAAGUAAUACAUAGUCAGUUAUUAUUUAAAUAGAUGCUCACUUAUUACACUAUUAAAGUAUUUUUGAAUAAAGCAAAAUUUGUCUGGGGUAUUAUGCCAUGAAUAUAUUUCAGCAUAUUAACCCAUAUAAAACACAUAAACAUGUUCAUAUCUGUGAUUAAAUUAUUAAUUGUCUAACAUAAGGUAUAAAAAUGAAUGAAAUACUAUGCUAUAUUAUCACAAUAACAAAUUAAAAUUGAAAAUGAUAGGUACUAUAUGUGAAGAAACAACAAUGUUCAUUGAAAAACUAACACAACAGUUAUUUCACUCAGUAAAUCAGACUAAGCAUGAGCAAAUCUUUGCAGCCCCAAACUGUCUUGGAAUUUUCUCACAACAAAAUAACGUUUACAAGAUUGACUCUCAAAUCAUCUUCCACCAAACAUUUAGAAUAAAUCUUUGUGUUCUGAAUUAAUGCUUUUAUCCAACAUCAAAGCCACUUAAAAUUUUAGAAGAAUUAUCUAUCAUCCUUUUCUUUGAAAGCCUAAUGUAUUCUAGUUAUGAAAAAAUCAAGCAAUAUUCCAAAGUACAAAAACAGAAAAAUACACUCAGAAUUUCACUACCCAGAUACAAUAAAUAAUUAAUGGCAUCUCAUGCACAUCAGUUUCUGUGUGCACAUUUCUUGUUCUACGUGUCCAGAUAAUGUGUAAAGUACGAACACUUUUAGUAACAAGUUACCUAGUAUUAAAUCAACAGUGGUUCAGCUGUAAACCAACAAUGGUAGAGAUAAGUUCUCCCCUUAGGCAAAGUGUUGAAACUCAGUGAUAGAAUCCAAUGAUCCAUAUUGGUUUGUUGUGUUAUUUUCACCAUGCCCAAUUUGGAUCCCAUGGUGGCAAAAUGGCUGCGUUAGAUCCAGAUGUCUACAUUCUAAGUAUGAAGCAAAUGAAAAUGGGAUCCUGCAAUGGGCUUGUAUUUUGUCCUCCAGAGCACAAAAGUUUCCUGGGGAAUUCUUGUCUCUAGCAGUUUUCCGUUUAUAGCUCAUCAGCCACACGAUUAUAUUUCUACAUCUAGGUAGACCUGGACCUAAGAAAAGAAAUUUACUAGAGAAGGUGGUUAAAUAUAUUAUCAUCUCUAUAGAUGUAAAGCACAUUUAAAGUUGAUAUUUUCCAAUAAACAUUUAAAAUUUUGUUUUGCAGGAAAAAAUAAAGUAAAUUUUAAGGAAACAUUGAACUAAUAGGUUCUCAGAAAAUAGCUCUUAUUUUGUAAGAAUACUUAUGAUAUGAGAAAAACUCAAUGGUAUUUAUUGAAAAAUAUCAAGAGUAAUUUUGAUUUAUUUGUAUGUAUGAAUGUAGUAAUAGACCUGCCACUUUCUUUGCUACAUGCAUACCUAAGAGCAGAAAUUUUAUAUCUUAUAAACAAGCAUAUUUAGCUAUUUAUUGAUUCACUCACAAAAUUAAUACAUGUCUGUGACCUCUUUCCCUUAGUUUUCUAAUUUAUGUUGACAGUUAAACUUGUCAAGAUUCCUAGAAUUUAUUAUUUUGUAGCUAUAAACUCCAUAACUGUUCAUUUGCACAUUUAAAUCUUUCAAUGAUUUUUUAGUCAUUCUAUGAGAUUUCCAUUUUUGUUUUUUAUCUUUGGUAUUAAUUAACCAAAUUUUCAGGGGAAGCUUUUAAAUGGAAUAAAGAUGUGUUAAGAAUAAAUUCUUAAGUGAUAAGUUUUUUCAAGUCAUUUAGUCUUUGUUUUAUCUAUUCAUUAUGGUUGUAUUAAUUGGAGUGGGGAUUUGUUGUAAGAUCCUCAGUCGAAAUUCAUUCAGAAUUUGGAUUUUUAUUUUUGAGAAAACAUAGCUUUUGUUUCUCAAAAGACUACACAUCCUGAAUUCUUAGUUGCUUGUGUAGUAUUUACUUUCAAAGUGCUUUAACCUCAUUCCAUUUCAUCUUCGCAAACCUAUAAAUACCAAGGAAGAGCAGGGGAAAGGUUGUAAGAGCCAGAGGGGAUGGAGGACACCAGGAGAACAAAGCCUUCUUAAUCAACUAAGCAAGGCACAUACGAGCUCAUAGAGACUGCAGCAGCAAGCACAGGGCCUGCCCAGGUCGGUACCAGGUCCUCUGAAUAUAUACAAUAGCUAUUAGCUCAGUAUUGUUAUGGGAUGCCUGACUGUGAGAAUGAGUGGGUUGCUGACUCUUUUGCCUGCUCUUGGGACUCUUCCUUCUGUUGGUUUACGGCAUCCAACUUUAAUAUGAUAGUGUCUGCUUUAUCUUACUAUAUUUUAUUUUGUCAUGUUUCUUUACCUCUUAUAAGCCUAUUCUUUUCUAAUGUGAGGCAGAAAGGAAGUGGAUCUGGAGGUAAGGAGAGGUAGGGAGGAAUUGAGAAAGGUAGAGUGAGGAGAAUCUGUAAUCAGGAUAUAUUGAAUGAGAAUAAAAUUAAAAAAGAAUCUAUAUUCAGUUGAAAGAAGAUAAAAGAGAAAAAAGCAUUGUCUCAUAUUUUAUAACACAAAACUAAAAUGUAAGUAACUUAAGUGCCUUUUUAAUGUAGUAUUAAUCUAAAAUUGAAUUAAAAUGAAAUUAAAACAUAUAUGCAUGUAAUAUCAUAUGAACUGGGCAGGUUGUAUUUAGAGAUGCAUGUACAUACAUAUGUACUUGUAACAACAAUUGAUGAAAAUAGAAAAUGAAUUUGAAAGAGAGCAGUGAGGGGCAAAUGGCAGGGCUAGGAGAGAGGAAAACAAAGGAGAGAAUGAUGUAAUUAUAUCAUAAUCUCAAAAAAUAAAAGAAAAAAAACUCUACCCAGCAUGUCUUUAUGUACAACAUCUUUACCUCUGUAUGUAACAUUCGUUAAUUUUGACUUUGAAAAUUUUCGUAGUUACUUAACUGGUAUACUAUGCAGUAUUAAUUUGUCAUAUUUUAAAGCUUUUGAAGGUAGCAGAAAUAAUGUGGAAGAACUCAGAAAACCUAAGUGAAUUAUCUUUUCAAAGGUUUAUGAUUUCAGUUCAUAUUAUUUAGCUGUGUUUGAUUGUGGAGGAAAUUCAGUCUUCAGCUUUUAUGAAGCUUAAGUUUGCAUGCUAGAGUUUUAAUCAUUUCUAAUUUUACUAGAAGAUCUGAUACAAGAGAAAAUAAUUCAGAUAGUUUGUGGGACAAUGCAAUGCUGUGAUCCUACCACUGCCUAGGUUCAGGUCCUGCAACUGGGAAGGGACAUGGGCAGAAGAAGAAUUGUCCAACCACCAGAUGAAUUUCAUACAAGUGACCUGCCCUGGAUAUCUCAAGUCAUAUUUAUUUAUACUUCAAAAAUAAGCAUGUUUCGCCCACUCUCGGCCAUUAACCUCUGGUAAAAACAAAUAUGUCAAAUAUGUUUUUUCCCAACCUUUGCACCAAAACAACUUUUAAACCAAAAGCAACUGUUCAGUAUUUUUCUAGUUUGGCUAAAUUUCAAGCCAGGCAUCUUUACAAAGCUAAAAGGUAAUAAGCAUAGACACACACUUUCAAGAAUGCAACAUUGUUCAAAACUUAACACAUCAUAUAUUUACAUAAAUAGAAAUUAUUUGCCAUAAACUGCUUGCAUAUAGUUAGCUUGUAUUUCUCGAACUGUUCUCUUGUCUUUCAAAAGGGUCCUGCAUAGUAUUGCUGAGUGAGAGUCCAUUACCACGGGUUUUGCCUCAUGGAGACCUGUUGGACAAACACUCAUAUGCUGAUCUGAAAUUAGGCCACAUGGCUCCCCACAAUGCAAUGUGCUGUAUGCUUUGAGUUUUUUCUCAUUCCUUUUUGAAACAAUCACAGAAAUUCAAACUGUAAAGGGAAGAGACUUUUAAGUCAGUUAAUACACCCUCUCACACUUAGCCCUAGCCAAAGAAGAAACACACACCAGUUACCUCCAAGGUCGAGAUAGUGGCUUAGGUCUGAGCCUGGUGGCACAGGCUUUUAAUCCCAGCUACUGAAGCAAGAGCACUGCAAGUUCAAGGCCUGACAAAGCAUUUUAGUGAGACCAUGUCUCAAAGUAAACAAUGGCUGGGUCUACUACUCAGUGUGCCAGUGCUUGCUGGACAUGUUUGAGAUCACAGGGUCUGUCUCCAGGAUUGCAAAAAGACGAAACAAAUACCUUAUGUCUGUUUCUAUUCGGACUCCAGUUGGGUUUUAAAAGGCCAUGGACAGAUGAAAAAUGCAGACUCCACUUAGGGUUCAGGUCUCCAUGAGCAAUGGGAGGAACCCAGGACACUGGCCAAGGUGAUCUUUGCAGGAAAUAUAUAAGGAAGUAGGGGAGACUGACCAAGCAAAUGCGAGGAGGGAAGCUGAAGGCUGUCUCCUUCCGUCACCCUCCCUCCUGCUCUCAGUCUGUGUCAAGUGGACACCGGAGAUAUUUUGUCUAGUAUUGCAUUGCAAUGGGUUUUCCUCUGGUUGAAAGUAGAUCUCACCAUUUUAAGCCAGAGAAAAUUUGACUUGGGUGCGUUAUUUUAGUACAAGGCCAUGGUAAUGGUGGUUGUCUGUACCUUCCAACGUCUGCUUUUCAUGGAUGUGCUCUGUAAAGAAUGGCACAAUCUUACUAAGAGAUAAUUGUGCAGUAUGAUUUACUAGAUUAUUAUGUCUAAACAUAAGGAAUACUCCACAUGAACCAUAAAAGAAAAAUUCAUAUUCUUAGAUAUUUAACCUAAAGCAAUAAUGAUUGAUUGUUUUCAUAAUAGUGUUGAUACAGCAAAUCUUGGAAAACAUGAGUAACAAAUGUUCUAGAUUACUGUGUACCCUUUGAAUGAUCAUAUAAAAUGUAAUACUGACAGAAUAUAUUACUGAAAUAUUUUACAGUGUAAUUUUAAGCUAUAAAAUUAUAUCUAAAGGAUAUAUACAUGUAGUGUGCUUAAAUGGAUAUUAAAAGGAUUAUGCAUCAUAUUGUACCAGUUUUCGUGGUAAGGCUUCCUAGCUCUUCUUUGAAGAUAGUUCAAACCAGGUAUCAAAUAAGAAAGAAAGUGGAAUAAGUGAACAUAGUCUAAAACUUAUAUAGAAGAGCAUGUGGUUAUUAAAUCCCACUGUAAUUUCAUUCAUGGCUUAAAUUGUGAUGCCCUGGUAAACACAGAGAGAUGACUGUAGGUCCUUAUGAAAUCACAGUUCGCUUUAGUGGUAACAGUUUUGUUAUACUUUCAAUAGAUAAUGAUAGCUCUUAGUGCUUGAUUAGGCUAGAUAUGAGUAUGACACCCACCCAUACUCUGUCAAACAGGUCACAUUCUCUCUUGGAGUCUUUUUGGUGAUGCUUGUGAUUUACUGGACCCAAUACACUUAGGGCAUUGAGUAAGGAAUUGAUUGUUUUGGCAUUACUUUAGUGGCCCCUGCUUUCCAGUUACUUACCAUAUUCCAGCCAUAGAAUCCCAAGUUAGGGAGCCACAUCUGCCUCUUAACCUAGCUCCUUCAGUUCCUGUGCCAAAUCCAGUCCCACACAUGGACAGAAGAAAUCCCAUCUGAAUUCUCAACUAGUGGCAAAGGCUUUUGGUGGAAGCCA